rnacentral:rRNA from 1 species
UACGUAGGGUGCGAGCGUUGCCCGGAUUUAUUGGGCGUAAAGAGCGUGUAGGCGGCCAAACAGGUCAGCUGUGAAAACUCGAGGCUCAACCUCGAGACGUCGGUUGAAACCGUUUGGCUAGAGUCCGGAAGAGGAGAGUGGAAUUCCCGGUGUAGCGGUGAAAUGCGUAGAGAUCAGGAGGAACACCCGUGGCGAAGGCGGCUCUCUGGGUCGGCCCUGACGCUGAGGCGCGAAAGCGUGGGGAGCGAACGGG